ACGGAAGGCAGCAGUGGGGAAUAUUGCACAAUGGGGGAAACCCUGAUGCAGCGACGCCGCGUGAAGGAUGAAGUAUUUCGGUAUGUAAACUUCUAUCAGCAGGGAAGAAAAUGACGGUACCUGACUAAGAAGCCCCGGCUAACUACGUGCCAGCAGCCGCGGUAAUACGUAUGGGGCAAGCGUUAUCCGGAUUUACUGGGUGUAAAGGGAGCGUAGACGGUAUGGCAAGUCUGAAGUGAAAGCCCGGGGCUCAACCCCGGGACUGCUUUGGAAACUGGUAAACUAGAGUGUCGGAGAGGCAAGUGGAAUUCCUAGUGUAGCGGUGAAAUGCGUAGAUAUUAGGAGGAACACCAGUGGCGAAGGCGGCUUGCUGGACGAUGACUGACGUUGAGGCUCGAAAGCGUGGGGAGCAAACAGGAUUAGAUACCCUGGUA
rnacentral:rRNA from 1 species